CACGCAGGCGGUCUUGAAAGUUUCGAGUGACAGGUGGUGGCUUAACUGCCACAGGCCUUGGAAAACUGCAAGACUUGAGGACGAGAGAGGGAUGCGGAAUUCCAGGUGGAGCGGUGAAAUGCGUAGAGAUCUGGAAGAACACCAAAGGCGAAGGCAGCAUCCUGGUACGAACCUGACGCUCAUGUGCGAAAAGGCUAGGGGAGCGAACG
rnacentral:rRNA from 1 species